UUGCUUGGUAGUUGUUCAAGACUUCUAAGCAAUCUCAAGUGAGUACAUAGUCCCCUCUUUUACUGUUUUCAAUGUUUUGGGGUGCUGCUUUGUGAUGAUUGUUGAUACAUGCUACACUUAGGAUGGACUCGUGCCUUAGCGACUUUAAAACUUGAAAGAUAAUAUUUGUAUUUAUCUGAUUUGUAGUAGAACAAAGAUUUCAAUGAUUCAAUAAAACAAAAUUAUUUUAUCCAUGGUUGUGAAACAAUGAUUCUGUUACAACACUCCCCGACGU
rnacentral:lncRNA from 1 species